CUACGGGCCGCAGCAGUGGGGAAUAUUGGACAAUGGGGGCAACCCUGAUCCAGCCAUGCCGCGUGAGUGAUGAAGGCCUUCGGGUUGUAAAGCUCUUUUGGCGGGGACGAUGAUGACGGUACCCGCAGAAUAAGCCCCGGCUAACUUCGUGCCAGCAGCCGCGGUAAGACGAAGGGGGCUAGCGUUGUUCGGAAUUACUGGGCGUAAAGCGAGUGUAGGUGGUUGUCCAAGUUGGAUGUGAAAGCCUUGAGCUCAACUCAAGAAAUGCAUUCAGGACUGGAUGACUAGAGGACCGGAGAGGAUAGUGGAAUUCCCAGUGUAGUGGUGAAAUACGUAGAGAUUGGGAAGAACACCAGUGGCGAAGGCGGCUAUCUGGACGGUUUCUGACACUAAGACUCGAAAGCGUGGGGAGCAAACAGGAUUAGAUACCCCCGUAGUC
rnacentral:rRNA from 1 species